rnacentral:misc_RNA from 1 species
AAGUCGUAACAAGGUAACCGUAGGUGAACCUGCGGUUGGAUCAUUAUUGAAAUUAUAAUCCAAUCUUUUUUUCUCAUAACUUCUGUUAAAAGAAGGCUAUGAGAUUGAAGGAAACAUCAUGUGAACUUGUUUAAUUGUCUCUGGUGGGUUAAAACGAUAAAGUAGUUUGAAAAAAUUACUUUACCCGGAAUGUGUGUGGCUUGGUGUUUGUGGGUAAAUUAUAUUUAUCCAUUCCCACCCCUCCACCCCCAUUUACCCACUAUUUUUUUGUAUAUCAAAACCUGUUCUGUUUAACCUGGACCGAAUUUUUAAAAUGUUUUUUUCCUUGAAAAGAAAAUAACAAAUCUAAAAAAAAAAACAACUUUUGACAACGGAUCUCUAGGCUCUC